GAAACGGGACGGCCAGCAUGGAGUCACGUCCGAUCCUAUAGUGUUAGAUGCAACUUCUUUCACGAUGACAGUACAACUGACAUUCGGACGGGUCGCGACCGGUUUCCGUAUCGUGACAAUCUCAGUUUGAGAGACAUUCCUCGACACACCAUUUUUGGAAUGUCAUUCGCGGAUUAUUCGAACGUUCAUUCGGGUCGAAUUCUGAAUCCUUUGUAUCGUGGGUCAGUGGAAAGAUGUGUUUCUACGAAUCACGAGAAUAUAUGACUCUGUGCAUGAUUCUGGCUUCUGGUUGAAAGAUGGCUUUAAUGGGAAGAAUAAACCGUAAAAGUUAACACGUUGUUAAGAGGGAGCUUAAGAUUCGUGGAUGUGAAUAUGCGUGGGUGAGGACGUUAGGUUAUCGGCACGUUUCAUUAUCACGUGCAUGUUCAUCGACAACUUCAUUAUCAUUAUUUGAUGUACAAAUUGAGUGCACAGAAUUUACUUAGGAAUCGAGGUAAAGGGAUGAAGAUUGCACACUGAUCGACAACGACAAAGCAUUAAUAAAAUAUUAGACACUAAAGCUAAAAUAUUACGGGUAUGAUACCUGUGGAACAAUUACGCUCGAAUCCGAGCAAUGCCAAGAAUCUCUUUCAUCGUCCCGGUUCGCGACGACGUGAAGGAAUUAAAGAGCACGUUUGAUUCCCGUUCACCUACGCGAGUCGGCCGUGUUACGUAAGCUCGUUGCACGAGAGGAGACAAAUACCAUAAGUCAGCGUUACCAUAGCGCAAACACGCCGCUAAUGGCACGCCGAGAUGGUGGGUGGUGGAAGGUUUUUCGGUUCUUUGCAAACCUGUCGGCGGCGGCACCAAAGGGCACCGGAAGACGCGGGAAGCAACGCGUGGGUGGACAUGUGAAAAGAGAUCAGCCGAGUCACGGAACUUCAUGACCUAUUUGAAGAUUCGUCUUAUUUGUUUUGUUUUUUUUCGUUCUCUAGAAAAAAUUGUUCGACUUUUGAAAUGGGGAAAUUGAUAGGACUAGUCGUUUCUGAAAUAUGAAUUUUCUAUGAAAGUGAAACAGAUAUUGCAAUAUAGUAAAAAUAUUUUAAUUAUAAUUAUAUAUUUUAUUAAAAUCCUCACAUAUAUACAUAGUUUCGAGUAUUCGUAUAAAAUAAGAUCAAAAAUAUUCCAAGUCAUUUCAUUCAAAAGCAGUACAGCACAAAGCUCUCAUUCUUCGCGGAAUUUACUAUUCAUUUUUUAUAUUAAGGAACAUUUUGAACUACAGCAAGUUACAAUAAUAUUAAUAGUUUAAUAAAUAAGAAAUCAUUGUGACAAGUUAAAAAAUUGGAAAUUCAUAUAAAAAUGAUGAAUAAGAUCUAUCGAAAAGAGUGUUAAAAAUUUUAAAACAUUUUUCUGUUCUUCUGGAAAAAGAUGAAAAUCAUAAAUCCUUUUCAAUAAAUGAAAAGAAAACCC